ACUGCAAGCCGCGUUAUCGGGCCGUGCCUAGCGCAGGGUCAGGAAAGUCUGGACAGCAUAGGGCAGCGCCUCCUGCUAACGGCAGGACAUCCUGGUAAAACGGGAUCGAGACAGUGCCACAGAAAAUUACCGCUCUUCUUGUAAGGGUAAGGGUGAAAACGUGGGGUAAGAGCCCACGGCAAUGGUUGGAGACAGCCAUUGGGGGUAAACCUGGCGUGCUGAAAUGCCAUGUAUAGAACUGGUUGGGAGCGGCCCGUUCCCGCUGCAGCCUUCGGGCGGCACACGGUUCAGGGUAGGCAGAUACAGGUGUCUGGCAACAGGCAUCGCAGAUAAAUGAUAACGGACCCGUGCAAACGGGAUGACAGAAUCCGGCUUACAGGCUUGCAGUUUUU
rfam:Cnuella takakiae strain DSM 26897 genome assembly, contig: Ga0131159_104